rnacentral:rRNA from 1 species
GAGUUUGAUCCUGGCUCAGAUUGAACGCUGGCGGCAGGCCUAACACAUGCAAGUCGAGCGGAUGACGGGAGCUUGCUCCUUGAUUCAGCGGCGGACGGGUGAGUAAUGCCUAGGAAUCUGCCUGGUAGUGGGGGACAACGUUUCGAAAGGAACGCUAAUACCGCAUACGUCCUACGGGAGAAAGCAGGGGACCUUCGGGCCUUGCGCUAUCAGAUGAGCCUAGGUCGGAUUAGCUAGUUGGUGGGGUAAUGGCUCACCAAAGGCGACGAUCCGUAACUGGUCUGAGAGGAUGAUCAGUCACACUGGAACUGAGACACGGUCCAGACUCCUACGGGAGGCAGCAGUGGGGAAUAUUGGACAAUGGGCGAAAGCCUGAUCCAGCCAUGCCGCGUGUGUGAAGAAGGUCUUCGGAUUGUAAAGCACUUUAAGUUGGGAGGAAGGGCAGUAAGUUAAUACCUUGCUGUUUUGACGUUACCGACAGAAUAAGCACCGGCUAAACUCUGUGCCAGCCGUCGACGG